AGACCAACGCUGCCAGCUCAACAGAGCGGGUGCGGAGGGCCUAGUGAGCUGGGUCCUACCGUCGGGAGCCGAGACACCGACCGCCUCUCUGCCCGCCCCCUUAAGCCCAGGGUUGGACCUGCGCCUGGGCUUUUAGCCCCAUCCCGCGCCCGCCGAGCCAAUAGGCGGCUGAGGUUCCACGCGCGUCACAAUGGGCGUCUGUGACGUCAAGGGGGUCACCUCGCCACGUGACCCCACCCCCGGAAGUCCUUCACGAAAUUCCUCCUCCUGACUCCCGGUACUUUUCAGCGGCCGCCUUCCUCUCAUCCCAUCCCACACGUCCUCCAUCCGUUCAGAAUCCGAUGUCGGUCCCCGGCCCGUCUUUACGCCACCGCGGGAAGAGGAAAACUCCUCGAACCCGCUGUACCAGCGCCAAGCUGCCUGUCCCGGGGCUGCUUCCCCGACGUCCAGGGCGCGGGUUGAGUCGCAACCCGGACGCCAGCUAGAAUUCCCGAAUCCGAGGGGACCUCCGCCUCUGCCUCGCUGGGCUCUGACCACGCCCCUUCCUAAGCCCCGCCCAGGGCUUGCGGGGAGGUUUCCGUGGCGACAGUAAACAACACUCAAGAGCUGCGGGAGCCACACCGCAGCCCUGCUCCCCCAACCCACGCUCCUGCAAAUAAGGUGAUCGAGAAUGACAGCGAAGUUGUUAUGAACUGAAACCGGGACACAUGGGGGCCCAGGUGGGGGCCAGGCCGGGGAGGGCCCGCCUGGGGGUCCAGGACACGUGGGCUGUGGUGCCAGGGUCUGCAACCCCCGGAAGAGGCAGCAGCAACUGGAGAACCAGGGAUUGAGAUCUAAGGGAGCAGACGUGCAGGUGGAGCCGGAUGUUGCGUGGGCCCAGGCAGCAGAGGUGGGAUAAGACACCGGGAGCAAGAGGGACUCGUUCAAGCAAGACCUUGUAGUGUUUUCCUAGGAAGGAGCAGGCAACCUGCACGGGCGGGGGCUCUCCCAGGCUAGGAGUAAGAGCGGCGGACAAGAAAAAAUCCAUAGGCAUGGAAAGAAGCGGGAAGAUAUUACCCAUAAUCAAGGGGAAAAUCUCUCAGGAGAAGCAGAUCGCUAAGUGGCAGAGAUGAGGCAGUUAAUAGACAAAGACACAGAAACAGUUAUAAAUAUCCUCUGUGUACUCAAGAAUGCAGAGGAUCGGGAGUGAAAAAGAAGAUACUUUAAAAAGAAAGACUAGAUGGGAUUUACAGCAGAGUGGAUAUUAGAGAGUAAAGAUCAGAGAAGGCAAAUACAGAGACGGGAGAAAAGAACAUCAAGGACUUGUCGGACAAUAGCAAAUGGUCCAGCGUUCAUGUCACUGAAGUCCCAGAAUGAGAAGAGGCAGGAAAAACUUCAAAGAAUAAUGUCCUGAAAUAUUCUGAAUUUGACAGAAACCAACAGAUCGAGGUUCAGUGAACCUGAAGCACAAGGAAACAUAAAGAAAACCACAUCAAGGCACGUCCGAUUAAUAAUUACUUUAAAUGUAAAUGGCCUAAAGACUGCAAACAAAAGGCAGGUAUUAUCAGACUGGAUAAAAAAGCAAGACCCAAAAUAUGCCCUCUAUAAGAACCACGCUUUAAAUAUAAAGACACGGCUGGUGAAAAGUGCGAGAAUGAAAGAGAUAUACCAGCCAAGCACUCCAUAAUACACACAUGAAGUAGCUGUAUCAGUAUCAGACAGAGAAGUCCGCAAAAGGACUAUUAGCAGGGUGAUAGGGAAACAUUUCAUAAUAUGCUGCAUUCAGGGGAGGACAGGACAUUCCUGAAUAUGCACGCACUUAAAUAACAGGACUUCGAAAUGCGUGAGGCAGAAACUGAUAGAAUUGCCAGGGGAAGUAGACCACCAUUUAUGCGCAUCCUAUUUAGAAUAUAUUUAUAAAUAAUCCACCAUUAUAGUUAGAAAUGUUCCCAUCCCUCUCUCAGUAGUUGAUAACUGUAGAUAAAAUCGGUAGGGACACAGAAGGUUUAGCAAUGCUGUAAACAAUGUUGACCUAAUUACCAUUUUUUAAAAGACUCCACCCAAAAGCAAGAGUUCUCAACGGUUCCUCUUUCUCUGUGGUUCCCUCCCUGGCUGAGGAACAGCAUUCUUACUCUUGCCUGAUUCCCGAGUAAAUCCGCAGGGGACAUGCUUGCGGUGCACGUGAGAACCUACCGUAUUCUGUGCUCCAAUGGAGUGUUUGUGGACCUCCCUGGACAAAAGGCUGACCCGGCGACCCUGUGCCUCCUGAAAGAAGGGGGGAAUCGCAGAGUGGCAGUCUCAGACCAUGCUGGAAAAGCACCCAGCUGAGACAGAUCCAUGCACCACUCUGGGGCUUUGGGAUUUAGUAUCCUGGUUUAACUGGGGAUAUAGAACUGAUAAAAAUACCUUACCGAAAAGGUAAGCCAGGGCCAUGUGGAAAACCAGAUCCUUCGUGAAGGGCUCAGCUGGAGAAAAUCAAACACGUUAUUGAAAAAAAUCAGAAAACAAGCCAUCAUUUUUUCAAAGGGACACUCACUCUGUCAUAUUCCCAUACCUCCAGCAAGGAGGGAAGGUGACCUUGAGAUAGAGGGUUGGCCCCUGUAGGGCUUUGUACCAGAUCUGAGAGAGGUGAAUGAGUUUGUCGUUUCAUUAAGCUCCAUGAUCCCCCUGCAACUUUUCUGACUUUGAUUCUGUCGCCUACAGUUUUUCUCUACAUUCUGCUGUUUUGUUUUUUUUUCUGUUCCUCUAGCUAAUGAGUUCCAAUUCCCAUUUGCUUUUACCUUUGAAGGAGUCCAGUGUUCAGAGCAAAAUGUUCCUCAGGAUUUGGGGGACUCCUACUGUUUUGUCUAGCCCGUUUAGGGAAAUCUGUCUCGCCGAGCGAUCUAUAAUUAUUCGGUAUGGGGAUGAUUUGCUGGUAGCUUCAGAAACUGAAGUGUAACGCAGAAGUGAUACUUGGGCUUCUCGCCAUUCCUCACCUGGCGGGGACAUACGGCCUCACUAGACAAACUGCAAUAUUGCCAAGCUGGGGUCACAUAUUUAGGGAAUUUGUCGUGGAAGUCCACAAAGUGUUAGAAUGCCGGAGUUAGCCAGUUUCUCAGAUGAAAUAGCCAACAGCAACAACAACAACAACAACAACAAAGCAACAAUUUGGGGGACAAGUGACGUACUCUCCACAGUGGAUUCCAGCUUUUUCAAGAGCGGGCAAAUCCUCUGAUGGACCAACCGACUGAUGAUACUCUAGACCCUUGUGUCGGGUCCCUAGAAUCCGCAGGAAGCUUUUGAACCGUUGAAAUUGGUCACGGUCUCUCCCCACGCUGUGAGGAUUCCAAAUUUUGAAACAGCUUUCCACGUGAUUUACCAUGGAAACAAAGACACUGACUGCUGGCAGAAUUGAGCUCUGAAACUGGCAUUUGACUCUAGACCGAUAGCAUUAUUUCUCAGUUCUGGAUGCCUCCACGCCGUGGUGGUAGCAGCCACACUUAUGCAAAAAGCUCAAGCCUUUCUUUGGAUCAUUUGACUUCUGUGUAGGUCCGGGACCGUCUUUUAAGUGCAGAAGCACUGCAGGUGCACGAUCAGACCAGUAAUGUGUCAUCAACAAAAUCAUCUGAGUCAAACAUCUGAGAGGAAUUUUAAAGGCACUAGACUCUUACCAAUGACGACCAAACAGGUGACCUUAUCCAAAACGUAUCAGAGACGUGCUGUCUGUCGGCAGAAUUCUUUUCGGGCCACUGCCAAGGUGAGCACAGGAGACACUUGGUGGCAGUUCAAUUCCAUAGAAUUGACACCUGUGGAAAGUAAGAGAUCUUUGUCUCGUUAUGUCUGCGGGAUUUGCAGGUGACCUGACGUCCGCUGUCAUUCAGGAGGCGUGCAAAUCAUGCUGGGAUCUGCCCUGUCCCCUCAGCCCUGAAGACAAGUGGAGUGGAUGAAUCCAACACUGCAAACUUCAUUUAGAAGUCUAUAGGUGAGGGGAUGCCUGGGUGGCUCAGUCGGUCGAGCGUUUGACUCUUGCUUUUGGCUCAGGUCAUGAUCUCACGGUUCGUGGGAUUGAGCCCCGCAUCAGGCUCUGCUCUCUUUCUGCCCCUCCCCUGUUCGUGCUCUCCCACUCUCUCUCUCUCUCUAAAAAUAAAUAUUAAAAAAAAAAAAAGAUGUCUAUAGGUGAAAAUGGCCUAUAGCACCCCCUCAGAAAGUAUGGUGUCUCUCCCUUUGAACUUAUGAACUUCAGUUUGAUAGGCUGAUGAAUUUGGGUCUGUGCCCAAUUUGGUGAAUCCUCUCAUAAUCAUGUUCAAUACUUAAGAGGGCUGUGAGACCUAAAAUCAUAAGGACCUGGAAGGGCCCAUUGGAGGACAUCGGAGGAGGCCUGCCAUCCUCUGCUGGGGGGAUUUCAUGUACAUAAAGGUGUUCCAGAGGAGGGGUGCCUAGGUGGCUUGGUCAGUUGAGUGACCAACUCUUGAUUUUGGCUCAGGGCAUGAUCCCAGGGGCGUGGGAUCGAGCCCCACAUCGGGCUCUGCGUGGAGCAUGGGACCUGCUUAAGAUUCUCUCUCUCCCCUCUGCUCCUCUCCCCACUCACAUGCACACUCUCUCUAUAAUAUAAAUAAAUAAGCACAUAAGUAAGUAAGUAAAUAAAUAAAUAAAUAAAUGGUAUUCUAGAGGAAAGAUGCCUGCCACCACACUGGGAGGGACCCUUUUACAUGUUUUGAUAUGGUUAUCAAACUGAAAGAAAAAUCCAGUUGGAUUCAGGCUUCUGAUGUGAAGUCAGCAUCUCAGGAGGAAAGGACUGGGGUUCCCACGAGGACUUGAAACAAGUUUUCUAGAAUCACUGACAUUGAUAUUGAGCUCAAUAGAAAAGAGCUUGCUUUUUAUUUUUUUAAGAAAAAGUGAAUAAUUUCUAGUGAAAUUAUUAUUAUUAUCAUAAUAUUUGUUUAAUGAUUCAAUCGAGUAGCAUCUAAUCUAGCAGAUAGGAAGGAGCUCCACAGAGCUGUAUGAAACAGAAGACUUUUAUAAGCAGAAGGGAGCAGGAACAAGAAAGUUCUACCAGGCAGAAAAGCAAGUUGCUCAUUACAAGGUCACUUUCCUUUAGGAGAUUGCCAAGGGUCUAUCAGUAAGGCCUGAUUUCUAGAAGAGCCAAAACUCUAAGUUAAGUCUCAGUUUGUUGACAUGGGCUUAGCAUAAGCAAUUCCAUUUAGGGCCUGUUGUUUUUAACAAGUAAAACGAAAAGAUAUUUUUUCCUCCCUUACGUAACCAAAUAUUUGCUUUAAGUAAAUUAAGCAUAUCGUUGGUACACACAUUUAAAGACUCUUCUUCCUCAAGUCCAUGUUGUACUGAAUUUUCUAAUUUAUCCCAACGUGAUUCUGAUAAUUACUUUGCUUCACAUUUCCCCACACAAUCGCUGAAUAUUUCAGUGGCUGCAAAAUGCCAAGAGAAACAGAAAUGGAGAUCAUUAGAAAUUAUGCUAUUACAAUAAAAUAGUAACAAAAGGGUAAAUAAAAAUAAGGUUGAAUUUCCUUUCCAAAAGGAAUGAGAUCUUUUCUCCUCCUUUUUCUUAGAACAUUUCAGAGAGAAAACUUGUAUUUGUAAAGCAUUCCUGUGGUGCCUGGCUGACUCCGUUGGACGAGUGUGUGAUUCUUGAUCUCAGGGUUGUGGGUUUGAGCCCCGUGUUGGGUGUAGAGAUCACUUAAAUAAAUAAGACUUUUUAAAAAAUAAUAAAAUAAAGAUAGAAAUAAUUCCUCUGUCCUUUUGAUAUGCAUGCAAAUCUUAUCGGAGGUUAAAUAAGCCUCUUAUCAGGAUUAAAACCCAGGAAUAUUUUUCAGCAGGGCCUGAAAGCCAUCUCUUUUCAAUGUCAACAUCAAGGAAGACAAUGCCCCAUCGCCCUGUCACUGUGGGAAUCUAGCUGAGGCAUCUCAACUACCUGCUCGUCGUAGAGAUAGAGGCCAUUAACUCGCAUAGAUGGCCACCCCAAUGACCAGGGGAAUGCAGAGUGAUCUCUGAAAGCACGUAGAGUGAGCAGGACUGUUGAGUCUCCUCACCCGACAAGUGCUCAUACCUGGGAACAUGCAAACAGGGGUUGUGUCUGCUUGGCUUAUAGGGAAGCAGGAUGGGGAGGGUGCCUGGCUGGCUCAGUCGGUAGAGCAUGUGACCCUCGAUUUGUAAGUUCAGGCCCCACAUCGUGGUUGUUUGUUUGUUUUUUAAUUAAAAAUAAAAUCUUUUUUUUUU